CCUACGGGCGGCAGCAGUGAGGAAUAUUGGUCAAUGGGCGUAAGCCUGAACCAGCCAAGUCGCGUGAGGGAUGAAGGUUCUAUGGAUCGUAAACCUCUUUUAUAAGGGAGUAAAGUGUGGGACGUGUCCUGUUUUGUAUGUACCUUAUGAAUAAGGAUCGGCUAACUCCGUGCCAGCAGCCGCGGUAAUACGGAGGAUCCGAGCGUUAUCCGGAUUUAUUGGGUUUAAAGGGUGCGUAGGCGGCCUGUUAAGUCAGCGGUGAAAGUCUGUGGCUCAACCAUAGAAUUGCCGUUGAAACUGGGAGGCUUGAGUAUGUUUGAGGCAGGCGGAAUGCGUGGUGUAGCGGUGAAAUGCUUAGAUAUCACGAAGAACCCCGAUGGCGAAGGCAGCCUGCCAAGCCAUGACUGACGCUGAUGCACGAAAGCGUGGGGAUCAAACAGGAUUAGAUACCCGGGUAGUC
rnacentral:rRNA from 1 species